rnacentral:rRNA from 1 species
UCAAAGUAUCUUCUGCCCACUGAUAAGAUUAAAUGGCCGCAGUACUCUGACUGUGCUAAGGUAGCGUGAUUCUUGUUUUCUUAAUUAGAAAUCUGUUCAAAGAAUGAUAUAUAGAAAAUCUAUUGUUUUUAUAUUUAAUGAAUUUAAAUUAUUAGUGAAAAUUCUAAUAUGUUAUUAAAAGACGAGAAGACCCCAUAAAACUUAAUUUGAUAUUAAUUUUUUAGUUUUAAAAUUUAAAUGGGGACUUUAGAGUAUAAUAAUAACUUUAGUGACCUAAAAUUUUAUUUUGUGAUAAGCUACUUUGGGGAUAACAGGGUAAAAUAUUUAGAGAGUUCAUAUCGAUAAAUAUAAUUACUACCUCGAUGUUGGAUUAUCUUUUCAA